rnacentral:tRNA from 2 species
GCUCCUUAGCUCAGAGGAGAGCGCUGGUCUACUAGACCAAAGGGGGCGGUUCAAUUCCGUCAUGGAGAA